rnacentral:tRNA from 4 species
GUCUCCUUCGUCUAGGGGUUAGGACAGCGGGUUUUCAUCCCGCCAACAGGGGUUCGAAUCCCCUAGGAGAUGCCA